AAACACAAUCACCAUACAAUUACAUAAGAUAAUGACUAUCUAUACAAAUAAUAAAUAUCCUCUAAAUAUAUCGGCUAAGAAACUGACUCUGCUUACGAGACAUGAUCAGAAAUCGACGCAAUCGUUCUACAAUGGAUCUACGGAACAUUGUCUGACGACCUACUGGUAACCAGUGACUCAGGAGCUCGCAGCUUGGGAACGUGUAGUGGUCGUUAAAACCCGCGUGUUGGGUUUUAAUUAUCUUGAACUAUGAACCUGUCUUUAAAACUAUUUGGAUUAUGCUUCCGCUGUUUAUCUAAACUGAUUAUCGAACUUAAACUGUGAUGUUUACUAACUACUUUGGUUGGUGAAUAAUUUUGCCAUUAAUCAAUGCUCAGUAUAAUUGGUGGCUGGAUCCUGGUCAGUCACGCCCUCAAGCGGAUGAUACUCCGCAG
rnacentral:lncRNA from 1 species